CCGGUUGCGGCGGUUUAUGGCAGGGAGAUGCGCAGCACGAGAGCAAAGGGCGGUUACCCAACGGCCUUCGCUCUCAUGGCGUCCUCCUUGAUGUUACCUAAAAAUAAAACCAAGGGUGAUUAGAAGCUUGAAGAAAACCUCAGCAGUUGAAACCGUGAUGCAGUUCAGCAAAGAAGUAGCUCCUGUCCUGGUAAAACAGUGAAGUUCUCAUGGACGACCUCAUUGAGAUUUAAACCUCAGACACAGGGAGCUGACCUAUUCACCUUAGAAUCCUCUGGGGCACCCAUUACAGUGUCUGUACCAAGGAGGCAACAAAGAACGGCAGAACAGACUGGAGCAGAAGG